UAUAUUUGAGAGUUUGAUCCUGGCUCAGGAUGAACGCUGGCGGCGUGCCUAACACAUGCAAGUCGAGCGAACCUUUCGGGGUGAGCGGCGGACGGGUGAGUAACGCGUGGGUAACCUGCCCUGUACACACGGAUAACAUACCGAAAGGUAUGCUAAUACGGGAUAAUAUAUGAGAGUCGCAUGGCUUUUGUAUCAAAGCUCCGGCGGUACAGGAUGGACCCGCGUCUGAUUAGCUAGUUGGUAAGGUAACGGCUUACCAAGGCAACGAUCAGUAGCCGACCUGAGAGGGUGAUCGGCCACAUUGGAACUGAGACACG
rnacentral:rRNA from 1 species